rnacentral:rRNA from 1 species
AAAUUGAAGAGUUUGAUCAUGGCUCAGAUUGAACGCUGGCGGCAGGCCUAACACAUGCAAGUCGAACGGUAACAGGAAGAAGCUUGCUUCUUUGCUGACGAGUGGCGGACGGGUGAGUAAUGUCUGGGAAACUGCCUGAUGGAGGGGGAUAACUACUGGAAACGGUAGCUAAUACCGCAUAACGUCGCAAGACCAAAGAGGGGGACCUUCGGGCCUCUUGCCAUCGGAU